GAUGAACGCUAGCGGCAGGCUUAAUACAUGCAAGUCGAGGGGCAGCGGGUGUAGCAAUACAUGCCGGCGACCGGCGCACGGGUGCGUAACGCGUAUGCAACCUACCUUUAACUGGAGGAUAGCCCCGAGAAAUCGGGAUUAAUACUCCAUAACAUUGCGAAAAGACAUCUUUUUGCAAUUAAAGCUCAGGCGGUUUUAGAUGGGCAUGCGUGACAUUAGCUAGUUGGUGAGGUAACGGCUCACCAAGGCUUCGAUGUCUAGGGGGUUCUGAGAGGAUUACCCCCCACACUGGUACGUGAGACACGGACCAGACUCCUACGGGAGGCUG
rnacentral:rRNA from 1 species